rnacentral:lncRNA from 1 species
GGAUCCCAUUCCAAAAUGGUUACUCAAGAGCCAUUACUCAAAGAAAAUCUAAAGUCUGAGCCUGGUGUCUGUCCCUAUGGAUCUGGUACGCUCUCCUUAUCCCUGUUGAAACUAGCGAUCUUCAUUAAUCGGGAGUCAGCUGGAACAAGAGCUCAACACCCUUUGGUCAAGUUUCUGAAGAAGCUGAAAUCUGCUUUAUAUGGAGGGGUGUGAAAUUACUAAAACUGUUUUGAAUAAGAAGAAAAUAGACAUAUCUUGUCAUUGACUCCAACACUAUCUUGGUAUAAGACCACUUGUCUACCUACAACAGACUAAUAGAGAAAUGAAAGAGAGAAAAAUGACAGGGCUGAUCCACAGAAAUUGUAAUUGCUUUAAAAGGCUGAUUUAAUUGCUAAUGAAAAGUAAUCCCAUGGUGCAGAAGCACUAAUGUUUACAAAUUUUGCCACUUAGGUUUGAAUUUUGAAAACUUCCUGUCCUUUGUAUUAUUAGUUGUCUUACAUGAUAAUAAUCUUCAAGAAAUAAUUUUUAAAAAUUAGGGUGAUUUUGAAUGCAGUUAAAUAAUGCUUAUUUUGGUGUUCCCUCUUUACACAUAUGCUCUUCCAUCUCUUUAAUGUUUGUGGAGCAAAUGAAGAAUUUCUAAACAGUGCCAGAGGGACAGUGUGCUAAUUCUUUGAGAAAGAAAAUCCUUACAAUUUUAGUAUGCCUUAAGCACUGCUAGUUUAUGAUAAGGUCUUUGUAGAGGUGCAAUAAAGAUAAUGGCUUAUUUAAAAUACUAUCA